CGCGAUUUGGCCUGCUAAGCCGCGGGCCUGGGUUCUAAUCCCGUUGCUUUAUUCUUCGCAUUUGCUGCGACCCUCGCGCCCAACGGCACCGAGGAUCUAGAGCAAUACGACGCAAUAGGCCGCCGAAAGGCUCUUUACGACAAAGUUUCUAAAGCU
rnacentral:misc_RNA from 1 species